GCGUGGAAUAUGUUUUAGGGAGGUGUUGCAUAUGCACCGCCACACACAUACAUGAUUAAUAGCCCCACAUGCACCCGGCAGUAGGCCGCCCUAGAUAGAGGAACACAAAUAUGUAAGCAACUGACCACCGCAGUCGGUCAAUUGAUUUGGCUGCUGGCCCUGAUGAAGAAGCGAGCAACUACAUACAUUCUGUAAGUACAUUCAGCCCUGUGCAUGGGGGCGGGCUUGAUAUGGGCCACGAGGGCACCAGUUGGUCGUCGUCCAGGGUAACCUCCUCCUGCUGCUCCUGCAACCCAAGCACGUGGUAGCUUCUGUCCAUGUUUGUAUGUAUGUAUGUGGUAUGUGUGUAUGUGGAGUAGUGUAAGCCAUGCAGGAGCGCGUGCACGGCGGCGGCGUAUGGGGUCUAUAUCUCAACUAGCCAGCGCGUGUGCUGCGCACUUCCCACUGUUGACGUGUCAAUUCAUUUUCUGGUGCUGCUGCAGCAGCAGCGGCAGCAGUAAUGGUAAAUUUGUUACUAUUAGGGUUGCUCUUACUUGGUUCGUUAUCCCUUUCUCAUCGGCGGGCAUAUGUGGGGCCCUGCUUCAUGACAUUAUAUCGCAACGUCGCAUGACAAUAUUUAUCCAACGUAUGCAUGACAGAUAUCUCUGCAGGCAUCCGCUAUCUUUUGCUAUGUGCAACCUGGCUUAUUGGCUACCUGGUUAUGGGUUUGGCAGGGAAGGCUUCAUGUCGGGUGCGUGUGAUUAUGAGGCAAGUGAUCUUGAUGACCUUCCACACGUGUGUGCGUCGUUUUGUCGGCGGGUUUUCUGCACCUUCAGCCCGGCAGGCGACUGACUACAUGCAUACAUACACACACACGUACAUACUUGCGAGCGUUGAUCAAUUAUUUCUGAGGCAGGCAUGGCUCGACUUCUGAAAGCGUGCACGAGGGGCUUGCUAGGGGCCCGAGCAGGUGUGUAGCAACAAGGCGAACCCAUACAUGGCUGGGCUCGUCUAUCUCUGUUCGGAGGUAGAUACUGCGGUGGGGGUGUCUGCCGGCCGCAGUUUUAGCUCGCGGGUGGAUUAUACAGUUCUGUCUGUGCUUCCUUGCAUGGUCGAUGACGACGACUCGGACAAUGCACAUGCGCACGUGCGCCUCUGAUGAUGGCCGCCUUGUACCUGCGGGCAGGACCGCCUUGUACCGUACGGGCAUUCGGAAGCACGGAUGCGUACGCAUAUCUCAAGCAAGCAAGCAAGCUCAGAAGUCUCCAGGGCAUGCAGGCAUGCAAAUGGUUUAGGUUCAUGUGUACAUGGCAGGAUGGCGACAGGACUGGCGACUGCACGCAGGCUGUUUUGUCGUGUUCGUCCUCAUCAGCCCUACUGGUAACCUCCUAGCAACUAGGUUUUAGGGUUGCUUUCAUCGCAUUGCACUGCGCAUUGCACUAGCUUUUUUUGUAAAUCUUUAGCUAGACUGGCUUUUGCAUUGCACUGCGCUGCGCUGCAUGAAUGGAACACGACGGACGACCGGACGCAUUUCUAUUUUGCUACUUUGCUACAUACCUGCUGUACUGUGAUGCGACAACAACGUUAAGUCUUGGCAAAGGAAGACCUGCUAGACGAAUAGCUAACCAUGCUACAAAGGCCUAAGGCCGGCGGGCUCAUAUAGCAGGUAGUUGUAGCGGGUUAAGUAUGGUAGGCUGCGGGUGUUUACAUUUCGUGCUGCCGACGAUUUCGGUUGCCCCUGCAUAAACAUGUAGUGCAUUGUCGUCGUACCUUUCUUCCUUUCUCGGUGUACUUACUGUCAUGCUAUGUUGCAACCAGCAGGAUGUAUUUGCACGGGAGUGAGUAAUGCUUGCCAGGGAAUGUCAAACAUUUAGGCCUAUUAGGGAUCAUGUUGUAAAUGUGAACCUCGUAAUGAAAAGGCAUGGCAUGUUGUCCCUCUCGUCGGUUGGACGAAUUGGGCGCAGAAGUCACCAAAUGCAAGCCGCCCGGCCGGCAAAUGCCCGCCCACCCGGUCGCCAUCCACUGAGGGGAUUCGAUCGUAUCGAUAUAUGGCACACGCGUAGCAGAGAGGCGCUGGCCGCCCCGAGAUGCUGGCAGAGCGAUUUAGCGAGAA
rnacentral:lncRNA from 1 species